CUCAGAGGGCACCUGUUUAGGUCUUCCGGGUAAAUUAGUCAGGUGACCUGAGGCAAAAUACGUGCUGCAACAAUUAAUGAUGCCUUUGCUGUCAGUUCUCCGACGUGACCAUUGAGCCGUGAAGCCAAUUAGCCGCCCCAUGGUGUGAAUUGUCAGUGGAGGUCAGAUCUUUGUUCUACCUGAGAAGCCAUGACAACAGCUCUCUACAUGGGAUUGAUUGCUCUGGAGUGUGAAUGUACCGAGACAAACUGAUAGAAGCUGUUCGUCAUUCUUUCACACAGUGAGAAGAAGGCACUGUGAGGCACUUCACCUGAUCUCAAGCUGAGGUUCACAUUACAGGAAACCUGGAGGAAUGGCAGCUGGAGACAUGGACGCCCUGUCCAUAUUGACCACGCCUUCGUAAUAAACAACUGAUAAGGACUCGGUGACAUCAAGUGACAAUUCAGAAGAGGACGGGAGCUCACCGUCCAAACAUGUCAAGCUGAGAAGACAGCUGGUUUGAACCAAUUUGUCUUUCUUGAUGGAGGUAUUCCAGUUUCCACAAUACAACAAUACGCUUGAUUCACUCUGUGCCCAGAUGUUGGCCCGCCCCCCACAUUGGGGACCACUGCAAAAGUGAUCAAGACACAACAGAAGAUGAAUCAUCCUGAAAAUGUCCUUGCCGCUCUGGUGGGCCUCGUUGUUCUGACCUGGAUUUAAACCUCCUCAACUUGGUGCUUGUUCAGAAUAAAAUGGCAUCGGUAAAAAGGAAGAGAAAAACUACUUCCAAUUAAAUUAAUUUAUUUGAAUCGUUCAAAGCCUUUAGAGUCAAAUGAUUCUGCCAUUACGGUUCAUUAUUACCUUCCAGGCUCCUGCAGUGGAAUACAUUUUUCCACUUAAAGGAAAAGCGGUGCAGCAGGUAAGUGGCUGUGAGCAGACACAGGACUAAAUGUCAUUCACCAUCUUUGGCUUUUGUUUUGUUCUUAGAUCACUAAUGGAACGGCCCUUUUUUUUCCCCUAAACUUUUCAAAUGACAGCUGGGAACAAAAACAUAUCCUUCAACACAUUCGGCUCAAUCCAAAUUGCUCCAAUCGUUUGUAUUUGUUCCCUGUAAAAUGAUGGAAAAAUGGAUGUUAAAAUUGAUGGCAAAGAAGGUCAUUUUAGAAUGGAGGGGGGAAAAAAACAGUGAAUUCACCUUUAGCACUGUUGUCUCACACAGUAUCUAUACCAAACAAAAACUGCCUUGAUAAUGUAAUGAUGAAUAUAAGGUUUUUCUGAUAAUAAAAAUACUGU